rnacentral:rRNA from 1 species
CCUACGGGUGGCAGCAGUGGGGAAUAUUGCACAAUGGGGGAAACCCUGAUGCAGCGACGCCGCGUGAAGGAAGAAGUAUUUCGGUAUGUAAACUUCUAUCAGCAGGGAAGAAAAUGACGGUCCCUGACUAAGAAGCCCCGGCUAACUACGUGCCAGCAGCCGCGGUAAUACGUAGGGGGCAAGCGUUAUCCGGAUUUUCUGGGGGUAAAGGGAGCGUAGGCGGCGUUGCAAGUCAGAAGUGAAAGCCCGGGGCUCAACUACGGGACUGCUUUUGAAACUGUAUGGCUAGAUUGCAGGAGAGGUAAGAGGAAUUCCUAGUGUAGCGGUGAAAUGCGUAGAUAUUAGGAGGAACACCAGUGGCGAAGGCGGCUUACUGGACUGUAACUGACGUUGAGGCUCGAAAGCGUGGGGAGCAAACAGGAUUAGAUACCCCUGUAGUC